rnacentral:rRNA from 1 species
CCUACGGGUGGCAGCAGUGGGGAAUAUUGCACAAUGGGGGAAACCCUGAUGCAGCGACGCCGCGUGAGUGAAGAAGUAAUUCGUUAUGUAAAGCUCUAUCAGCAGGGAAGAAAAUGACGGUACCUGAGUAAGAAGCCCCGGCUAACUACGUGCCAGCAGCCGCGGGAAUACGUAGGGGGCAAGCGUUAUACGGAUUUACUGGGUGUAAAGGGAGCGUAGACGGCAGUGCAAGUCUGGAGUGAAAGGCGUGGGGUCAACCCCCGGACUGCUGUUGAAACUGGACGGCUGGAGUGCAGGAGAGGUAAGUGGAAUUCCUAGUGUAGCGGUGAAAUGCGGAGAUAUUAGGAGGAACACCAGUGGCGAAGGCGGCUUACUGGACUGUAACUGACGUUGAGGCUCGAAAGCGUGGGGAGCAAACAGGAUUAGAUACCCUUGUAGUC